rnacentral:rRNA from 1 species
AGCUCCAAUAGCGUAUAUUAAAGUUGUUGCAGUUAAAAAGCUCGUAGUUGGAGGUGUGGGGCGGACCCGGGCGCGCGCGUUCUGCGCCGGCUGGGGCCCCCCUUUCGCGAAGAAGGCCGCGCCCAUUCGCUUGGGCCCGGGCGGAGUCGCGUCGUUUACUGUGAACAAAUUAGGGUGUUCCAAGCAGGCCGGAGGCGGUUCGCCGCCAGUUCUCGUCUGGAUACAUUAGCAUGGGAUAAUGAGAGACAACCCCCGGCGCCAGUUGCUGGUCGGCUCGCGCCGCGGCGCCGGGGGUGAUGAUUAACAGGAACGGCUGUGGGUAUUCGUAUGACCAUGUCAGAGGUGAAAUUCUUGGAUUCUGGUCAGACGGACGACUGCGAAAGCAUUUACCAAGGAUGUU